UAUAGGGAGACCAACUCAAUUUGAGAUUUGGGAUGGGGGAUUUUAGAUUGAGAAAGUCAAAUCCCCAAUCGUCAAUUAAAAAUCUCAAAUUGUGACAUCCCAAGGUCGGACGACACAAGCAAAAAAACUCAAGUGGCAAAACUGGCAAGCUUUCAAACUAGCACUGGUUCGGUGGAUGUGACACCAGCAGUAGGGGCUAUUAGCUCAGGUGGUUAGAGCGCACCCCUGAUAAGGGUGAGGUCCCUGGUUCGAGUCCAGGAUGGCCCACUCAAAUGAAGUCGGAAGUCGGAAGUCGGAACAGAGCAAUUGAGACUGAUGACAAAGACAAAAAGAUGGUGAUAGACUAGUCAAGUUGGAAAAAUUCAGCACUGUCUGCCGUGCGGACAACUGCUGGAAACUUCCAGCGAAAAAGCACCUUGAAAACUGCAUAGAGAAGAGAAAUAGUCAGGUAGAAACCAAGUAUUUGCGUCAAUUACU
rnacentral:tRNA from 2 species